rnacentral:rRNA from 1 species
GCGUAGGGGUUCUGAGAGGAAGGUCCCCCACAUUGGAACUGAGACACGAUCCAAACUCCUACGGGAGGCAGCAGUGAGGAAUAUAGGUCAAUGGCCGGAAGGCUGAACCAGGCAAGUCGCGUGAGGGAAUAAGGCCCUACGGGUCGUAAACCUCUUUUGUCAGGGAGCAAGGCCGCCCACGUGUGGACGGAAGGAGAGUACCUGGAGAAAAAGCAUCGGCUAACUCCGUGCCAGCAGCCGCGGUAAUACGGAGGAUGCGAGCGUUAUCCGGAUUUAUUGGGUUUAAAGGGUGCGUAGGCGGCCUGCCAAGUCAGCGGUAAAAUUGCGGGGCUCAACCCCGUACAGCCGUUGAAACUGCCGGGCUCGAGUGGGCGAGAAGUAUACGGAAUGCGUGGUGUAGCGGUGAAAUGCAUAGAUAUCACGCAGAACCCCGAUUGCGAAGGCAGCAUACCGGCGCCCUACUGACGCUGAGGCACGAAAGUGCGGGGAUCAAACAGGAUUAGAUACCCUGGUAGUCCGCACAGU